rnacentral:snRNA from 1 species
GAAUCACCUCAGCCUUUUGGCUAAGAUCAGGUCACUGUUCUCAACAGUAUCUGAUACAUUCUCCUUUAUCCAAGAACAUUAUGUAAGUGGAUUUUUGGAGCUGGAAGAUAGCGUAGGAGCUUCCUCUAUUCCCUCCAUACAUCAGCCCGGUAUUGUACCUCCAGGAACUAUGGACUCCUA